AUUGAACGCUGGCGGCAGGCCUAACACAUGCAAGUCGAGCGGAUGAAGGGAGCUUGCUCCUGGAUUCAGCGGCGGACGGGUGAGUAAUGCCUAGGAAUCUGCCUGGUAGUGGGGGAUAACGUCCGGAAACGGGCGCUAAUACCGCAUACGUCCUGAGGGGGAAAGUGGGGGAUCUUCGGACCUCACGCUAUCAGAUGAGCCUAGGUCGGAUUAGCUAGUUGGUGGGGUAAAGGCCUACCAAGGCGACGAUCCGUAACUGGUCUGAGAGGAUGAUCAGUCACACUGGAACUGAGACACGGUCCAGACUCCUACGGGAGGCAGCAGUGGGGAAUAUUGGACAAUGGGCGAAAGCCUGAUCCAGCCAUGCCGCGUGUGUGAAGAAGGUCUUCGGAUUGUAAAGCACUUUAAGUUGGGAGGAAGGGCAGCAAGUUAAUACCUUGCUGUUUUGACGUUACCAACAGAAUAAGCACCGGCUAACUUCGUG
rnacentral:rRNA from 1 species